CCUAAUCUCCCCUCUGUCUCUAACUCGCUCUCUGUGUCUCUCUAUGUUGGUCCGCCCUCUCCCUCUCUUUGUGUUCUCUCUUUCAAUCGGUGCCCACUCUCUCUAGCUCACCGAAGUCCCUCGCCACCGUUGCUCACGUCGUUUUGUCGUCGUUGCUCUCUCUCUCUCUCUCGUCACUCUCUCACUUCCAAUCGGCAAUGAAACCCUAGCCACAAUGUCCAUUCACUUUGUCCCUUGUUCUACCUCCGCUACCAGUUCUACUGCCCCCUUUAUUGCAUUGCCACUCGUGACCGCCAGUCCAGGUAUGAUUUGUGUUCUUUUAAUUUUGUUUUGUUUUCUUUUCCCCCAGAAAAACAAAGACAGUGAGAGAGAAAGAAGAGAGAGAGAGAGAGACCAUAUGGAAAAGCGAAGGAUCUAAGUGAUGGAGGCCUAAUAGAUUAGAAGGGUGAGCAUUCACCUACUCUAGAGGCUGAGAGUGCUCUUCACCAAUGCAUUUCUGCUUUCAAGGAGGAGCAGCAGCAAAAACAACUUGAACUCAUUCUGACAAUUAGAAAGACUGGAAAGGUAUAAUUUUGUGUGUACAUGGACAUUACAUCAUGUAUCUUUAGGAAAACUUGUGUUAUUUCUUGUUAUUCUUUGGGCUUCCAUCAUGUAUCUUUUUUUGUAUUUAGUUGCUAUCCUUCCAGUUGUCCAGUUGAGAUCAAUUUAUUUAUUUAUUUUUUGUUUGUCAAACCAAAUGGAGAUUGAAUUUGCUCUCAACAAAAAACUGUUGUAGAUAUAUAUAUUCAUAUAAAUUAUUUGUGU